CUUUUUCUUCGAUUUGAACUCUAAGAAAAAAUUACGCUGUUAUCCCUAAGGUAAUUUUUUCUUUUAAUCUUAAAUAAAGGAUCAUUUCUUUCACUUAUUUAUGAAAACUAAUAAAAAAAAGUUUAUUAAAUUUUUUAAUCACCCCAACUAAAUACUUUUUCUUAAAGAAAACUUAUAUUUCCAUAUUUUACCUUUAAAAAUAAAUAUUAAACUCUAUAGGGUCUUCUCGUCUUUUAUAAAAAUUUAAGCUUUUUAACUUAAAAAUAAAAUUCAAAAUUUUUAAAUUGAGACAGCUAUUUUUUCAUUAAACCUUUCAUUCCAGCUUUCAAUUAAAAAACUAAUGAUUAUGCUACCUUAGCACAGUCAAAAUACCGCGGCCGUUAAA
rnacentral:rRNA from 1 species